GGGGACGAGUGGUUUCGACAGAGGGAGGGGAUUUCAGGGACGCAGGCGGAGGCGCCAUCAACCUCCUUAAACUGGUGGCAAAGGCUUAACUGCCGACAAUAGACUACCUCUAGCCGCCUAAACAGCAGCUAGCGUCUCUCCUCAGUUCCCCCCGGUGGCUGGGGAAGAGGCGUCGACUAAUCGGGGUGCAGCAAUCCGGACGCCGAUGCGGGUUGCUAAAGACCAUCGGCUGGUUUCGGGGAACUUCGCCGGUCGAGGUUUUCGGAGCAAGAAACAAAAGGCCGGAUAAGCCUGUAGUUGGCCCUGGGUCGCUUUUCUUUGGACGGGGAGUUCAA
rnacentral:tmRNA from 1 species